UACGUAGGGACCGAGCGUUGUCCGGAAUCAUUGGGCGUAAAGAGCGUGUAGGCGGCUAUUUAAGUUCCUGCGUGAAAUCCUGACGGCUCAACCGCAGACGGUCGUGGGAAACUGGAUGGCUAGAGUGCGGGAGAGGAGAGUGGAAUUCCCGGUGUAGCGGUGAAAUGCGCAGAUAUCGGGAAGAACACCCGUGGCGAAGGCGGCUCUCUGGAACGCAACUGAACGCUGAGACGCGAAAGCGUGGGGAGCAACAGG
rnacentral:rRNA from 1 species